GACGAACGCUGGCGGCGUGCUUAACACAUGCAAGUCGAACGGAAAGGCCCGGAGCUUGUGGGUUUGUCGAGUGGCGAACGGGGGUGUAACACGUGAGUAACCUGUCCUUGAAUUUGGGAUAACUUCAGGAAACUGGGGCGCAUAUCGGAUAGGAUCUCCUGCUGCAUGGGGGGGGUUGGAAAGUUUCGGCGGUGGGGGAUGGACUCGCGGCUUAUCAGCUUGUUGGUGGGGUAGGUGCGUACAAGGGUUUUGACGGGUAGCCCGCCUGAGAGCGUGGCCGGGCACCUUGGGCCUGCGAUACGGCCCAGACUCCUACGGGCCGCAGCAGUCGGGAGUAUUGCACAGUGGGCGGGCGCCUGAUGCAGAAACGCCGCGUGCGGAAUGACGGCCUUCGGGUUGUAAACCGCUUUCGCCUGUGACGAAGCGUGAGUGACGGUAAUGAGUCAAGAAGCACCGGCUAACUACGUG
rnacentral:rRNA from 1 species